rnacentral:lncRNA from 1 species
UUUCGGAUGGCGGUAAGCUGUCGUAAAAAACAUCAAAAGCAAGCGUUUCAAGCGCCAUGAGACUUUGAUUGGUCGAUAUCGAUAUAUAGUGAUUUAUGGUUUUAUUUUAUUAGUGUUUAUUAAAUACUAAGAGGUUUAGUUGCUUUUGUCUCCAUGUUGUCCAAGGGUUAUGUCGGCCAUGAUCCUAAUAUUAUCAUGGGUUUAGCAGAGUUGUUUAACUUCCAAACUGGAUUGAAGAUUUUGAAUAAAUUUUUGUGUUCUUAAUAUGGUCACAAGUUUGUACUUGUUUAAAACCCUCAAUCAUUUGAAAAUUAUGGCGCCGACAUGGUAGAUGUCCUAGAAAAAACUGGUAGUAAUUCAAUGUAGAUACACAUAGUCGAUGGAGUUACUUUCUAAUAACUGGCAAUGAGACAUAUUUGCUUCAAAUGAUGCCUUUAAAGUUUGAAAAGAUUUUUUCUAAUUCAAAUGUCGACUUUUUGUUACAUGAAAAAAGAUACUUAUAUAAACCCCUCGACUAUAUUGAUACACUUAGUAUGUGGAGUUACUUGUCAAUAGCUGGCGAUGAAACUUUUAAACGUAACGUCUUUAAGGGCUGAGAAGGUAAAAAUUAGAAGUCUGCAGACUGCAACGAAAAUCGAUUUCAACGCGUUAUGG